UAACAAGGAUUCCCCUAGUAACUGCGAGUGAAGCGGGAAAAGCUCAAAUUUAAAAUCUGGCGGUUUUGCCGUCCGAGUUGUAAUCUGGAGAAGCGUUUUCCGCGUCGGACCGUGUACAAGUCUCUUGGAACAGAGCGUCAUAGAGGGUGAGAAUCCCGUCCAUGACACGGACCCCCGGUGCUUUGUGAUACGCUCUCGAAGAGUCGAGUUGUUUGGGAAUGCAGCUCAAAAUGGGUGGUAAAUUCCAUCUAAAGCUAAAUAUUGGCGAGAGACCGAUAGCGAACAAGUACCGUGAGGGAAAGAUGAAAAGCACUUUGGAAAGAGAGUUAAACAGUACGUGAAAUUGUUGAAAGGGAAACGCUUGAAGUCAGUCGCGUCUUACGGGACUCAGCCUUGCCUCGGCUUGGUGUACUUCCUGUAGGACGGGUCAACAUCGAUUUUGACCGGUGGACAAAGGGGAUGGGAAUGUGGCAAUCUUCGGGUUGUGUUAUAGCCCUCUUCCGUAUACAUCGGUUGGGAUCGAGGACCGCAGCGCGCCUUUAUGGCCGGGGGCUUGCCCCACGUACCGCGCUUAGGAUGUUGGCAUAAUGGCUUUAAGCGACCCGUCUUGAAACACGGACCAAGGAGUCUAACAUGCUUGCGAGUGUUAGGGUGGAAAACCCUUGCGCGUAAUGAAAGUGAAAGUUGAGAGCCUUCUUUUGGAGGUGCAUCGACGCCCGGCCCUGAAGUUCUCUGACGGUGCUGCGGUAGAGCACGUAUGUUGGGACCCGAAAGAUGGUGAACUAUGCCUGAAUAGGGCGAAGCCAGAGGAAACUCUGGUGGAGGCUCGUAGCGAUUCUGACGUGCAAAUCGAUCGUCAAAUUUGGG
rnacentral:rRNA from 1 species